UACGUAGGCAGCAAGCGUUGUUCGGAGUUACUGGGCGUAAAGGGUGCGUAGGUGGCUCUAUAAGUAUGGUGUGAAAUCUCCCGGCUUAACUGGGAGGGUGCGCCGUAGACUGUGGGGCUAGAGUGUGGGAGAGGAAAGUGGAAUUCCUGGUGGGAGCGGUGAAAUGCGUAGAGAUCCGGAGGAACACCGACGGCGCAGGCAGCGUCCUGGCCGCUUGCUGACACUGAGGCACGAAAGCUGGGGGAGCAAACAGG
rnacentral:rRNA from 1 species